GUUAUUGAAUCAAAAUAAUCGAUCCAAUAACAUGGAUGGUUACAAUACGUUUCAUGAACGUGGAUGGUGACACGAACAUUGUCUAUUACUAUCCUCCAAUAUAUUAGAGGGCCAAUCUUGUUGACUUUUGUUGAAUAAAGGUAUUGGUAGUUUUUCCAUAUUCAGACGUAGAUGUUUACAAGUCACGAAAAAAAUGUUACAACACAUUUGUAU
rnacentral:lncRNA from 1 species